rnacentral:rRNA from 1 species
GAUGAACGCUGGCGGCGUGCUUAACACAUGCAAGUCGAACGGUGAAAGAGAGCUUGCUCUCUGGAUCAGUGGCGAACGGGUGAGUAACACGUGAGCAAUCUGCCCCUGACUCUGGGAUAAGCGCUGGAAACGGCGUCUAAUACCGGAUACGAGCUGCGAAGGCAUCUUCAGCAGCUGGAAAGAACUUCGGUCAGGGAUGAGCUCGCGGCCUAUCAGCUAGUUGGUGAGGUAACGGCUCACCAAGGCGUCGACGGGUAGCCGGCCUGAGAGGGUGACCGGCCACACUGGGACUGAGACACGGCCCAGACUCCUACGGGAGGCAGCAGUGGGGAAUAUUGCACAAUGGGCGAAAGCCUGAUGCAGCAACGCCGCGUGAGGGACGACGGCCUUCGGGUUGUAAACCUCUUUUAGCAGGGAAGAAGCGAAAGUGACGGUACCUGCAGAAAAAGCACCGGCUAACUACGU